rnacentral:rRNA from 1 species
GAUGAACGCUGGCGGCGUGCCUAAUACAUGCAAGUCGAGCGAACAGACGAGGAGCUUGCUCCUCUGACGUUAGCGGCGGACGGGUGAGUAACACGUGGAUAACCUACCUAUAAGACUGGGAUAACUUCGGGAAACCGGAGCUAAUACCGGAUAAUAUAUUGAACCGCAUGGUUCAAUAGUGAAAGACGGUUUUGCUGUCACUUAUAGAUGGAUCCGCGCCGCAUUAGCUAGUUGGUAAGGUAACGGCUUACCAAGGCGACGAUGCGUAGCCGACCUGAGAGGGUGAUCGGCCACACUGGAACUGAGACACGGUCCAGACUCCUACGGGAGGCAGCAGUAGGGAAUCUUCCGCGAUGGGCGAAAGCCUGACGGAGCAACGCCGCGUGAGUGAUGAAGGUCUUCGGAUCGUAAAACUCUGUUAUUAGGGAAGAACAAAUGUGUAAGUAACUAUGCACGUCUUGACGGUACCUAAUCAGAAAGCCACGGCUAACUACGU